rnacentral:rRNA from 1 species
UACUAGAGUAGCACUCGCAUAUCAAUAAGCGGAGGAAAAGAAACUAACAAGGAUUCCCCUAGUAACGGCGAGUGAAGCGGGAAGAGCUCGAAUUUGAAAUCUUAAAGGGUUUCCCUUUACGAAUUGUAGUUUAAAGAAGUGUUUUCUGUUGAGGUUUUGGUAAAAGUUCUUUGGAAUAGGACAUCAUAGAGGGUGAGAAUCCCGUAUUUGACCUUUACUUUCAACUUUGUGAUACACUUUCAAAGAGUCGGAUUGUUUGGGAAUGCAGUCCAAAAUGGGUGGUAAAUUUCAUCUAAAGCUAAAUAUUGGCGAGAGACCGAUAGCGAACAAGUACCGUGAGGGAAAGAUGAAAAGAACUUUGAAAAGAGAGUUAAACAGUACGUGAAAUUGUCAAAAGGGAAGCGUUUGACACCAGUGUUGUUUUUCUGAAAAUCAAUUAAAGAACUGUUUAUGCUAAGCUGUUUAGACUUUAUCAGCUAAUCUGUUUAGUUUUGAGCUUUUCUUUAAUGCACUUUUCAGUUAACAAGUCAACAUCAAUUUCGUUUGCUGUAAAAAAGCUUGAGGAAGGUGGCUUGAGAUUCGUCUUAAGUGUUUAUAGCCUCUUGCCUAUGCAGUCGGAGAGAUUGAGGUCUGCAGCGUAGAUCCUUCGGGGCUAAAUGCAUUUGUGCUAAGUUAUAGCAUUUUAUAGACAACUUGUUGACUAUGAUUUGUCUUGUAGCUUACUCGCUUAUGUUAUUUUACCUACGCUUAGGAUGUUGAUCUACAGAGCGAGAGU